UACGUAGGUGACAAGCGUUGUCCGGAUUUACUGGGCGUAAAGAGCGCGCAGGCGGUCGAUCAAGUCGAAUGUGAAAGCCCCCGGCUCAACCGGGGAGAGUCGUCGGGGACCGCACCGCUUGAGGGCGGUAGGGGCUGGUGGAAUGCCUGGUGUAGUGGUGAAAUGCGUAGAGAUCAGGCAGAACACCUGGGGCGAAGGCGGCCAGCUGGGCCGUCCCUGACGCUGAGGCGCGAAGGCGUGGGGAGCGAACGGG
rnacentral:rRNA from 1 species